AGUCGAGGGGUAACAUAGGAAAGCUUGCUUUUCUGAUGACGACCGGCGCACGGGUGCGUAACGCGUAUACAACCUACCUUUUAGCGGGGAAUAGCCCAGGGAAACUUGGAUUAAUGCCCCAUAGUAUGGAGAUCUCUCCUGAGAUUUUCAUUAAACAUUUAUGGCUAUUAGAUGGGUAUGCGUCCUAUUAGUUAGUUGGUAAGGUAACGGCUUACCAAGGCAGCGAUAGGUAGGGGUCCUGAGAGGGAGAUCCCCCACACUGGUACUGAGACACGGACCAGACUCCUACGGGAGGCAGCAGUGAGGAAUAUUGGACAAUGGGCGAGAGCCUGAUCCAGCCAUGCCGCGUGCAGGAAGACUGCCCUAUGGGUUGUAAACUGCUUUUACAGAGGAAGAACCACCCCCACGUGUGGGGGUUUGACGGUACUCUGCGAAUAAGGAUCGGCUAACUCCGUGCCAGCAGCCGCGGUAAUACGGAGGAUCCAAGCGUUAUCCGGAAUCAUUGGGUUUAAAGGGUCCGUAGGCGGGCAGUUAAGUCAGUGGUGAAAGUCUUCCGCUCAACGGGAGAACUGCCAUUGAUACUGAUUGUCUUGAGUUAUUAUGAAGUGGUUAGAAUGAGUAGUGUAGCGGUGAAAUGCAUAGAUAUUACUCAGAAUACCGAUUGCGAAGGCAGAUCACUAAUAAUAUACUGACGCUGAUGGACGAAAGCGUAGGUAGCGAACAGGAUUAGAUACCCUGGUAGUCUACGCCGUAAACGAUGGUUACUAGCUGUUCGGCCCAAUUGAGGGCUGAGUGGUUAAGCGAAAGUGAUAAGUAACCCACCUGGGGAGUACGUUCGCAAGAAUGAAACUCAAAGGAAUUGACGGGGGCCCGCACAAGCGGUGGAGCAUGUGGUUUAAUUCGAUGAUACGCGAGGAACCUUACCAGGGCUUAAAUGUAGUCUGACAGGGGUGGAAACACCCUUUUCUUCGGACAGAUUACAAGGUGCUGCAUGGUUGUCGUCAGCUCGUGCCGUGAGGUGUCAGGUUAAGUCCUAUAACGAGCGCAACCCCUGUGGUUAGUUGCCAGCGAGUAAUGUCGGGAACUCUAGCCAGACUGCCGGUGCAAACCGCGAGGAAGGUGGGGAUGACGUCAAAUCAUCACGGCCCUUACGUCCUGGGCCACACACGUGCUACAAUGGUAGGGACAGAGAGCAGCCACUUCGCGAGAAGGAGCGAAUCUACAAACCCUAUCACAGUUCGGAUCGCAGUCUGCAACUCGACUGCGUGAAGCUGGAAUCGCUAGUAAUCGCAUAUCAGCCAUGAUGCGGUGAAUACGUUCCCGGGCCUUGUACACACCGCCCGUCAAGCCAUGGAAGCCGGGGGUACCUGAAGU
rnacentral:rRNA from 1 species